CUAAUACCGCAUACGUCCUACGGGUGAAAGCAGGGGACCUUCAGGCCUUGCGCCAUCCCAUGAGCCUCUUGUCGGAUUAGCUAGUUGGUGGGGUAAUGGCUCACCAAGGCGACGAUCCGUAACUGGUCUGAGAGGAUGAUCACCCCCACUGGAACUGAGACACGGUCCCCCACUCCUACGGGAGGCAGCAUUGGGGAAUUUUGGACCAUCGGCGAAACGCCUGAUUCCCCCCUUGCCCCGUGUGCGAAGAAGGUCUUCGGAUUGUAAAGCACUUUUUAGUUGGGAGGAAGGGCCAUUACCUAAUACUUUAUGGUUUUGACGUUCCCGACAGAAUAAGCACCUUUUUACUCUGUGCCAAGCACCCCUCGGUAAUACAGAGGGGGCAAGCCCUUUUUCCGAAUUUUUGGGUGUAUAA
rnacentral:rRNA from 1 species